CCUGAAGAUCUCCACCACCGCCUAAGGCCGCCUCCUGAACCUCCACCGCCGAGGUCUGCUCUUCUCUUCCGAUCAUAUGUUUAUGUAUAUAUAUAUAUAUAUAUAUAUAUAUAUAUAUAUAUAUAUAUAUAUAUAUAUAUAUAUGGUUUCUCUUUUCCAUCUUUUUUUUCUUGAUUUAAUUUAUUUCUGUUCUUGAUAUAUAGUUGAUAUAUAUGGAUUUAAAAUGUUUUUUUUUUGUUCUUCAUGUUGUAUUUGUGGUGAUGAAAUAAGAUCUUAAUAACUAAUCUAUUUUUUAUUUUUCUUACCUUUUUUUCUUUUAAUAUUUUUUACUGAUUUUGGCCCGUUGAUACAGAUCUGAAAUUUUUAAACCUAUUAAUGAUAUAUAUCAUAUAUAAUAAGAUCUGUUUAACAGUAUUUAUAUUGGAUCUGGUAUGAAGAUAUAUUUCUCAAUUAGUUUGUUGCAUGCGAAAGUUCAUUGGAUUGAAUUUAUUUAUUCCAUACAGUUGAUAUAUAUGGAUUUAAUUAAGAUGUUCGAUUUUCGGAUUUAUGGACGAAGUUUACAACCUCUCUUUUCUUUUCUGGUUUUUUGGCAAAUAGAUGAAGGAGAAGCAUAUCGAACAAUAUUCUUGUCAGCGACAUAACGGUAAAAUCAAUUUUCUUUCACCAAAUAUCUCACAAAUUAAAGUUACCUUUCUUUUUUAUUGCAUCAAUUGUUUCUUUAUAUUUUUUAACAAAAAAAAAAAGAAAUAAUUCAUUAUGUACAAAGUUUAUGAACUGACCACGCUCGUGUUUUUUGUUGUUGUUGACCAACCGGUGAAUUCCAGAACUGUUUCAUUAGUGGAGCAUUGGUGGUGUUGGAGGGGUGGAAAAGGUUGAUAAUACUUCAAGAAAUGAUCUGAUGAUUUUUUCUCGAAAGCUCAAUCAGUUACUUUUUAAGGGAGUAUAAAAAAGGUGUUUCGUGUUUUUAUAGAUGUUUUUCGGCAUUCUAUAUGCGCAUUCAAGGCUUCAAAUCAAUUGUUUCACCACCCCCUCGAAACAUGGCCGCUAUGAAAUUAUUAGUGAAUCUGCGUUCAUUCUCAUGUUCCAGUGUGGUAAAGAAGGUAGCUGCCGCUGCUCCUUCCUUCUGUCGUCUAGUGCUUAAUUUUUCACCAACAAAACAAAGCAGAGCUUGAAGGAAGAAAUGACGAUAAAAUUUAAAAUACCUUACUGCAACGGACGCCCCCAUAGAAGCUACCAAGCGAGUCCAAAAUGCCGGGCCGAAUUCCACAAAGACGAAUCAGAUCAUCCACCUCAUAAUCAACACUGAUCUCCCUCGUUGGUAUGUGUCAAAAUGGUAAAAAUGAAGACGGAAUUCUGGAGCCUCCGGCUAUGGAAAUACAUAUGAGAUUGGUUAAUGGUUCUUAAUGCGGAUCUACAUUCAUAUGAAUAUUAUUUGGUUUUGUUUUGUUGCUACCUUUUGUUUUCCU
rnacentral:lncRNA from 1 species